CCUGACUCUCCUAUUAACUCGCUGUGGAACUUUGGAAGCAAGUGCCUUAUUAGUCACUAUGCCUCAGACCCCUGGGUGGACUAGGUAUCCUAAUAACAGCACCUACUUCCUAGGAUUAGAGAGAACAUCUAUAAAGUGCUUGGGAUGUCACAUAGUCAGGGCUCAGUCAGUGUCAACUGUUAUUAUUCAGCAUGGCCGUGUUGGGUCCUCUUUGACAAGCCCGACACUCCUCAUUUCCCAACAACUCGGCUACCUUAAACAGACCCCAAGUUCCCGCAGAGCUGAGAAGCGGCUACUCUUAGAUUUUCCUGGUCACCCAACUGGAGGGGUUUCCAGACUCUCAGGAGCUUCUUGACUCUCUAGCCUCAUCAGAACAUUAAGUUCUCAGCAUUGCAAGGUCCUGUAACACUUUACAACUUAGGUUGAUGGGCAAUCCUCCCAAAGCUGACACCCAUAUCCUGUGGGUAACAGAUGAUGAAAGGUGAGCUCAGGCCUGUUCAUUCUUCAUGGGUUUGGUGUGCUAGUCUGUCUUCCCCAAGAAGAUAAGUGCCACUGAGGGCAGAAAACAUGGUGUUACAGGUUUCUGGGUCCCUGGCCCUUUUUCUCCAAGAACCUACAUUAGGGUUUCUCACACUAGAUAUAUCCAAUAGAUGUUUAUCUACUAUUAUUAUUUUUUAACAUUUAUUUAUUUAUUUUGAGAAAGAGAGAGAGAGAGAGAGACAGCAUGAGCACACAAGCAGGGAAGGGGCAGAGAGAGAGGGAGAGAGAAUCUCAAGCAGGCUCCAUGUUGUCAGCACAGAGUCCGAUGCCGGGCUUGAUCCCUCAGACGGUGAGAUCAUGAUGGGAGCCAAGAUCAAGAGUUGGGUGCUUAACUGACUGAGCCACCCAGGCAACCCAAGAGACGGUUUUUCUGCGUGAAAACUUUGCUUCAGUCAGUCUAUAUUUACUUUCACUUUUGCACUCAUUCCAUUUCUUUCUUUUCUUUUCUUUUUUUUAAGUAAGCUCUAGGCCCAACAUGGGGCUUGAACUCAUUACCUUGAGAUCAAGAGUCUCCUGCUCUACCGACUGAGCCAGUCUGGUACUCUAUAUACUCAUUCCACUUCUAAGACCCAAUGGGAAGUAGGUUUUCCCCUUCCUCAAAUGACAGAACCUUAAAAAUGGCCUGCCAUCUGGUCCCAGAAAGCCUGGGGAUUGGAGAAGUGUGUCCAAGUGGGCCCCAGCAGUGCUCUCCAUUCAUUGAUGUGACUUUCUUUUCCUAAGGUAUUCCCACUGCCCUCAUUUGCCUUGGGCCUCCAUGAAUCCUCCCCCCAGCCCCAGAGGGCUGCUCCAGGCUGCAGCAGACAGAGCCUGGGGAGCUCCCAGGCCUCCAAAGAUGUAUGAGCCCAUCUGAUCACUUGGCAGCUGUUGGGGAAAUAUAAUUAAAAACCAAGUCCCCUGCCAACCCAAACAGCCUCUCCACAAAGGUAGA